rnacentral:rRNA from 1 species
AAAUUGAAGAGUUUGAUCAUGGCUCAGAUUGAACGCUGGCGGCAGGCCUAACACAUGCAAGUCGAACGGUAACAGGAAGCAGCUUGCUGCUUUGCUGACGAGUGGCGGACGGGUGAGUAAUGUCUGGGAAACUGCCUGAUGGAGGGGGAUAACUACUGGAAACGGUGGCUAAUACCGCAUAACGUCGCAAGACCAAAGAGGGGGACCUUCGGGCCUCUUGCCAUCAGAUGUGCCCAGAUGGGAUUAGCUUGUUGGUGAGGUAACGGCUCACCAAGGCGACGAUCCCUAGCUGGUCUGAGAGGAUGACCAGCCACACUGGAACUGAGACACGGUCCAGACUCCUACGGGAGGCAGCAGUGGGGAAUAUUGCACAAUGGGCGCAAGCCUGAUGCAGCCAUGCCGCGUGUAUGAAGAAGGCCUUCGGGUUGUAAAGUACUUUCAGCGGGGAGGAAGGUGUUGUGGUUAAUAACCGCAGCAAUUGACGUUACCCGCAGAAGAAGCACCGGCUAACUCCGUGCCAGCAGCCGCGGUAAUACGGAGGGUGCAAGCGUUAAUCGGAAUUACUGGGCGUAAAGCGCACGCAGGCGGUCUGUCAAGUCGGAUGUGAAAUCCCCGGGCUCAACCUGGGAACUGCAUUCGAAACUGGCAGGCUUGAGUCUUGUAGAGGGGGGUAGAAUUCCAGGUGUAGCGGUGAAAUGCGUAGAGAUCUGGAGGAAUACCGGUGGCGAAGGCGGCCCCCUGGACAAAGACUGACGCUCAGGUGCGAAAGCGUGGGGAGCAAACAGGAUUAGAUACCCUGGUAGUCCACGCCGUAAACGAUGUCUACUUGGAGGUUGUGCCCUUGAGGCGUGGCUUCCGGAGCUAACGCGUUAAGUAGACCGCCUGGGGAGUACGGCCGCAAGGUUAAAACUCAAAUGAAUUGACGGGGGCCCGCACAAGCGGUGGAGCAUGUGGUUUAAUUCGAUGCAACGCGAAGAACCUUACCUGGUCUUGACAUCCACAGAAGUUUCCAGAGAUGGAUUGGUGCCUUCGGGAACUGUGAGACAGGUGCUGCAUGGCUGUCGUCAGCUCGUGUUGUGAAAUGUUGGGUUAAGUCCCGCAACGAGCGCAACCCUUAUCCUUUGUUGCCAGCGGUUAGGCCGGGAACUCAAAGGAGACUGCCAGUGAUAAACUGGAGGAAGGUGGGGAUGACGUCAAGUCAUCAUGGCCCUUACGACCAGGGCUACACACGUGCUACAAUGGCGCAUACAAAGAGAAGCGACCUCGCGAGAGCAAGCGGACCUCAUAAAGUGCGUCGUAGUCCGGAUUGGAGUCUGCAACUCGACUCCAUGAAGUCGGAAUCGCUAGUAAUCGUGGAUCAGAAUGCCACGGUGAAUACGUUCCCGGGCCUUGUACACACCGCCCGUCACACCAUGGGAGUGGGUUGCAAAAGAAGUAGGUAGCUUAACCUUCGGGAGGGCGCUUACCACUUUGUGAUUCAUGACUGGGGUGAAGUCGUAACAAGGUAACCGUAGGGGAACCUGCGGUUGGAUCACCUCCUUACCUUAAAGAAGC